GAGCGAGAAGGGACAAGUGCGGCCCGGAGGCGAUCUGUGCGCGAGGAGGCGCUGUGGAGACUGAGGCACAGCCCCUCCGAGGAAAGCCGAGAUUGUACGUUUCCUUGCCGGCUGAGCCGCGGCUCGUCCCCCGGAGCGACACAAAGAAGAAGUGGCCUUGCAUCCUGCUCCGCCUCCCGAGCCGGGUCCUUGGUCCCCGGAAGCCCUGGGCUGCCCCACUGGAGUUACCUUCUGUGCGUUCUCUCCUAAACCUACACGUUAUUCACGACUUUGUUCAUGACUAUGGAAAACAAAACAAAAACAAAAACCAAACCAAAGUUCCCUCGCCUGGCGAUGGUGCAAGCCUGUCUACCUGCUGGAGGAUGGGCUGGGAUCACAGGCGUGUGCCGGCUUGUCUACCUACCUCCAGCUCGACGGCUAAAAGACCUUCUCUUUUACAUCAAGAAAUUAAAAAAAAAAAAAAAAUUCCAUGGGCAUAUGUGCACUUGUAGAGGCGAGAAGCCCUUGGAGCUGGGGUUACAGAAGGCUCUGAGCUGCCCGCUGUGUGCAGAGGCCGGAACUCGGAUGCACAGGAAGAGCAGGACGCGCUCUCAACCCCUGGGUCAUCUCCUCAGUUCACUCAAUUCAUUUUUAAGCAAGUGCUCUGGGCUGCCCCCCAGAACCUCUGCUCCUGUGUCUUCUCACCUUCAAGGUCAACUAGAACCACUCCUCAUCCCUUCCUAAGGGCCCAAGCCUCCAGUGCAGCCUCGGCGACCUCACUUUCCCUGGGGGCCAGGAGAGGGCUUCUCAUCUUAUCCCAGCAGGGGUUAUGAUAGGCCAAGGCCACAAGGAAUGGGGACAGAGCUGGAGACUUGAUGCCUGAUCCCCUCUUACCUGCAGCACCGAGAGGUUGGUCUGUCCAGAG
ensembl:processed_transcript 5430405H02Rik RIKEN cDNA 5430405H02 gene